AACGCAUAUUGCACCCACGUGGGAAACCACAGGGUAUACUUGCCUGAGAAUAUGUAUGUGUGAUUAAUCAAUCGAUUUGGGAAAGAAAAAGGAGAAUUCCUUUUCCCUUUCGUUUUGAUUAGUAUUGAGGUGUCGAAAUUUUCGUCCCUUUAAAGUAAUGUGGGAAGGAUAAAAAAAAGAAAAAAAACUAUAAGGAAGCGUUAUUGAUUACUCCAUUAUCGAUGGAAUAUUUUUAUGCGAUCCUGAAAUUGGUUUUUUUUUUUCUAUCAUCUUCAUAAUCUCAGUUUAAGUAAGACAACCCGCUGAACUUAA
rnacentral:misc_RNA from 1 species